UGAAGUGGAUGAGAGGUCGCC
rnacentral:siRNA from 1 species